rnacentral:rRNA from 1 species
ACUCAAAUGAAUAGACGGGAGCCCGCACAAGCAGUGGAGUAUGUGGUUUAAUUCGAAGAUACGCGAAGAACCUUACCUGGGCUUGACAUCCCAAGAACCCUGUGGAAACACGGGGGUGCCCUUCGGGGAGCUUGGAGACAGGUGGUGCAUGGUUGUCGUCAGCUCGUGUCGUGAGAUGUUGGGUUAAGUCCCGCAACGAGCGCAACCCUUAUGAUUAGUUGCUACGCAAGAGCACUCUAAUCAGACUGCCGUUGACAAAACGGAGGAAGGUGGGGAUGAUGUCAAAUCAUCAUGCCCCUUAUGUCCAGGGCUACACACGUACUACAAUGGCGCAACAGAGGGGUGCCAAGGCGCGAGCCGGAGCAAAUCCCCAAAAAGCGUCCCAGUUCAGAUCGCAGGCUGCAACUCGCCUGCGUGAAGUAGGAAUUGCUAGUAAUCGCAGAUCAUCAUGCUGCGGUGAAUACGUUCCCGGGCUUUGUACACACCGCCCGU